CAUAGGUUUGGUCCCAGCCUUCCUGUUAACUCUUAAUAAACUUACACAUGCAAGCAUCCACACCCCAGUGAGAAUGCCCUCUAGGUUAUUAAAACUAAGAGGAGCUGGCAUCAAGCACACACCCUGUAGCUCACGACGCCUUGCUUAACCACACCCCCACGGGAAACAGCAGUGACAAAAAUUAAGCCAUAAACGAAAGUUUGACUAAGUUAUAUUAAUUAGGGUUGGUAAAUCUCGUGCCAGCCACCGCGGUCAUACGAUUAACCCAAGCUAACAGGAGUACGGCGUAAAACGUGUUAAAGCACCAUACCAAAUAGGGUUAAAUUCUAAUUAAGCUGUAAAAAGCCAUGAUUAAGAUAAAAAUAAAUGACGAAAGUGACCCUACAAUAGCCGAUGCACUAUAGCUAAGACCCAAACUGGGAUUAGAUACCCCACUAUGCUUAGCCCUAAACACAGAUAAUUAUAUAAACAAAAUUAUUCGCCAGAGUACUACCAGCAACAGCUUAAAACUCAAAGGA
rnacentral:rRNA from 1 species